rfam:Pyrenochaeta sp. DS3sAY3a unplaced genomic scaffold IQ07scaffold_7, whole genome shotgun sequence.
GUCUCCUUAGCUCAAUUGGGAGAGCGCCAGACUGAAGUUCAGUCACUAAAAUCUGGAGGUAUCGUGUUCGAUCCACGAAGGGGACA